CCUACGGGGGGCAGCAGUGGGGAAUAUUGGACAAUGGGGGGAACCCUGAUCCAGCCAUGCCGCGUGUGUGAAGAAGGCCCUCGGGUUGUAAAGCACUUUCAGUGAGGAAGAACGCCUGGUGGUUAAUACCCAUCAGGAAAGACAUCACUCACAGAAGAAGCACCGGCUAACUCCGUGCCAGCAGCCGCGGUAAUACGGAGGGUGCGAGCGUUAAUCGGAAUUACUGGGCGUAAAGCGCGCGUAGGUGGCUUGAUAAGCCGGUUGUGAAAGCCCCGGGCUCAACCUGGGAACGGCAUCCGGAACUGUCAAGCUAGAGUGCAGGAGAGGAAGGUAGAAUUCCCGGUGUAGCGGUGAAAUGCGUAGAGAUCGGGAGGAAUACCAGUGGCGAAGGCGGCCUUCUGGACUGACACUGACACUGAGGUGCGAAAGCGUGGAUAGCAAACAGGAUUAGAUACCCUGGUAGUC
rnacentral:rRNA from 1 species